CUACGGGAGGCAGCAGUGGGGAAUAUUGCACAAUGGGCGCAAGCCUGAUGCAGCCAUGCCGCGUGUAUGAAGAAGGCCUUCGGGUUGUAAAGUACUUUCAGCGGGGAGGAAGGGAGUAAAGUUAAUACCUUUGCUCAUUGACGUUACCCGCAGAAGAAGCACCGGCUAACUCCGUGCCAGCAGCCGCGGUAAUACGGAGGGUGCAAGCGUUAAUCGGAAUUACUGGGCGUAAAGCGCACGCAGGCGGGUUGUUAAGUCAGAUGUGAAAUCCCCGGGCUCAACCUGGGAACUGCAUCUGAUACUGGCAAGCUUGAGUCUCGUAGAGGGGGGUAGAAUUCCAGGUGUAGCGGUGAAAUGCGUAGAGAUCUGGAGGAAUACCGGUGGCGAAGGCGGCCCCCUGGACGAAGACUGACGCUCAGGUGCGAAAGCGUGGGGAGCAAACAGGAUUAGAUACCCCGGUACUC
rnacentral:rRNA from 1 species